AUAUCCUAAAUUAUUUGCCUAAAAUUAGUACGGACAUGAAUCCUAUUUUAUAUUCUCAUCACAAUCACAUAACUCAAUAGACAGCACAGCACAAAAUCAUUCUCCAAUGGCCAAAGCAACAACGCUUUUGGCCAUUCUUCUUGUUCUUGUGUUUAACCUUUCUUGUUUCUCUUCUUUGACAUUGGCUGCAAGAGAUGAUUCAGUCUAUGAAUCUUUCCUCCAAUGCCUGAAAAGCAAAACAAACCCACAAGACCAAAUCUCAGACAUAGUCUAUCCCCAAACCAAUUUAUCAUACACUUCAGUUCUUCGAGCCUACAUUCGAAAUGCUCGCAUGAAUACCUCCACAACCCCUAAACCACUAAUCAUUAUAACCCCUAAACAGAUUUCCCAUGUCCAAGCCUCUGUUAUCUGCUCCAAAAAGGUUGGUUACCAACUCAAAAUCCGCAGUGGCGGCCAUGACUAUGAAGGGAUUUCUUACAUUUCUAACGUUCCCUUUUUCGUUCUUGAUAUGUUUAAUCUUCGAUCCAUGGAAGUAGAUGUUAAAAAUGAAACUGCUUGGGUUCAGAGUGGUGCUACUCUUGGUGAACUUUAUUAUAAAAUCAGGAAGAAGAGCAAAGUUCAUGGUUUCCCUGCUGGGGUUUGUUUUACAAUUGGCGUUGGUGGGCAUUUUAGUGGGGGUGGAUAUGGCAACAUGUUGAGGAAGUAUGGUUUGGCAGUGGAUAACGUCCUUGAUGUUCAAAUGGUUGAUGCUAAUGGCAAGCUUUUGGAUAGAAAAGCAAUGGGUGAGGGUCUUUUUUGGGCAAUUCGAGGAGGUGGGGGUGGAAGUUUUGGUGUCAUAAUCUCUUACAAAAUCAGGCUUGUUUCUGUUCCCGAGACUGUUACUGUUUUCAGAGUUGAAAGAACUCUUGAUGAGAAUGCCACUGAUAUUGUUUUUAAGUGGCAAUUUGUUGCUCCCAAAACAGAUAAUGGUCUCUUCAUGAGAAUGCUAUUGCAGCCUGUAACGUCCAAGAAAAACAAAACUGAGAAGACCAUUAGAGCAUCGAUUGUGGCUUUGUAUUUGGGAAACGCUGAUACUCUUGUGUCCUUAUUGGCCAAGGAAUUCCCUGAAAUGGAGUUGAAGAAAGAUAAUUGCAAUGAGACGAGUUGGAUUCAAUCUGUCAUCUGGUGGGCAAAUUAUGAUAUUGGAACAUCGCCUGAGGUUCUGCUUGAUAGAGAUAUUGACUCUGCCAAAUUCCUGAAGAGAAAAUCAGAUUAUGUCCAGACUCCAAUACCUAAAGACAAGUUGAAUGGGAUUUGGCAGUUGAUGAUUGAAUUGGGAAAAACAGGAUUAGUUUUCAAUCCAUACGGUGGAAGAAUGAGUGAAAUUCCUGCAACUAAAACUCCCUUUCCACAUCGAGCAGGGAACUUGUUCAAGAUCCAAUAUUCAGUGACUUGGGAUGAAGCAGGAAGCACAGCAGAGAACGAGUACUUGUCUCAGCCAAGGAAGCUGUACAGAUAUAUGACUCCAUUUGUGUCCAAAAAUCCAAGGGGUGCAUUUUUUCCCUACAGGGAUCUUGAUAUUGGUGUGAUGAAAGCUGGUAAAAACAGCUAUGAGGAGGGUAGUGUUUAUGGAAAGAAAUACUUUAAUGGCAACUUUGAUAGAUUGGUAAAAGUGAAGACAGCAGUUGAUCCAGACAAUUUCUUCAGGAAUGAACAGAGCAUCCCUACUCUUCCAACCAAGGCAUAGAAGAUUUUAGUAGUGAUUAUGCACUAGCAACAACUGAUUUUGUUUUGCUUUGUAAUACAAGUCAAUAAGUAAUCUGUGAUAUAUACCUUAUUGAAUCUGUGAUAUAUACCUUAUUGAUCGUACAACACAUGAUUAAUUCUUUUUAUAUUUAUUUUGUU
rnacentral:misc_RNA from 1 species